rnacentral:piRNA from 1 species
UGCUGCCCAGUGAGGGCUCCUACGGGUGA